rnacentral:rRNA from 1 species
GAGGGUUCGAGUUCUGGCUCAGAUUGAACGCUGGCGGCGUGCUAACACAUGCAAGUCGCGCGUGAAAGGACUCGGUCCGAGUAAAGCGGCGCACGGGUGAGUAACGCGUGGAUGAUCUACCCAUGAGUUAGGAAUAACGGCUGGAAACGGUCGCUAAUACCAAAUACGCUCCGAUUUCAACUUCGGGGGAAAGGUGGCCUCUGCUUGCAAGCUACUGCUCAUGGAUGAGUCCGCGUCCCAUUAGCUAGUUGGUGGGGUAACGGCCCACCAAGGCGACGAUGGGUAGCCGGUCUGAGAGGAUGACCGGCCACACUGGGACUGGAACACGGCCCAGACUCCUACGGGAGGCAGCAGUGGGGAAUAUUGCGCAAUGGGCGAAAGCCUGACGCAGCGACGCCGCGUGAGGGGAAUGAAGGUCCUCGGAUCGUAAAACCUCUGUCAGGAGGGAAGAACCGCCACGGUGCUAAUCAGCCGUGGUCUGACGGUACCUCCAAAGGAAGCACCGGCUAACUCCGUGCCAGCCGCGGC